AACGAACGCUGGCGGCAGGCUUAACACAUGCAAGUCGAGCGCCCCGCAAGGGGUGCGGCAGACGGGUGGGUAACGCGUGGGGACGUACCUUUUGGUUCGGAACAACUCCGGGAAACUGGAGCUAAUACCGGAUAAGCGCUAACGGGGAAAGAUUGAUCGCCGAAAGAUCGGCCCGCGUCUGAUUAGCUAGUUGGUGAGGUAACGGCUCACCAAGGCGACGAUCAGUAGCUGGUCUGAGAGGAUGAUCAGCCACACUGGGGCUGAGACGCGGCCCAGACUCCUAGGGGAGGCAGCAGUGGGGAAUAUUGGACAAUGGGCGCAGGCCUGAUCCAGCCAUGCCGCGUGAGUGAUGAAGGCCUUAGGGUUGUAAAGCUCUUUUGUCCGGGAAGAUAAUGACUGUACCGGAAGAAUAAGCCCCGGCUAACUUCGUG
rnacentral:rRNA from 1 species